CCAAUCCGAAUGCGCCACAUCACUCAAAUACAUCAGGGCCCAGUAUGUUUUGUUGAUGUGGCGCGUCUGGAUUGGUGUCCGGAGGAAUCCGGACACCGGACAUAAUAAUUUAUCCCUUUCUUCACACAACUGGCUUUGCAACUGAGAUGCAACAGUGAGUCUCUCGCAUGCGAACCCGCCUACCCUCCCUUUGCUAAACUCUCAAGCACAGGUAAAGAGAUUGGGUUGGGGCACUUCUCUUAGGUAAGGGGAAGCCAGAGAACUGCUCUUUAAAGGAUUUAAUGGUUAUUCUUCUUCUCCACCGAGCAUUUUCAAAGGGUUUCUUUGGCUCUUUUUUUCAUUAAAAAAAAAGGGCAAGACAUAACUGACGGAACCAUUUUUAUUUCUUCCUGCUCCUGCAUAGUUAAAAAGAUUUGUUUGGACACUUCUCUUAGGUAAGGGAAAGCUAGACUAAACCUAACGUCGGAACUGCACCAUUGCUGGUUUGAUGGCCAGUUAAAUAUUUUUUUUUUCUUUUUGUUGCAUGUAUGUAGCCAAUAGUGUAGCCUCAUACUUGUAUAAAUAUAAAAUUGAUUGUUGAAUAAAAUGUUUUUUUAAUUUGAA